AUACGGAAGGUCCGGGCGUUAUCCGGAUUUAUUGGGUUUAAAGGGAGCGCAGGCGGAGAUGCAAGCGUGACGUCAAAUUUCGGGGCUCAACCCCGUCUCGCGUCGCGAACUGCGUCCCUUGGUUGCGGGAAGGGGAGGCGGAACUCGUGGUGUAGCGGUGAAAUGCAUAGAUAUCACGAAGAACUCCGAACGCGAAGGCAGCCUUCCGGCCCGUCAACGACGCUCAUGCUCGAAGGUGCGGGUAUCAAACAGGAUUAGAUACCCUGGUAGUCCGCACAGUAAACGAUGGACACCCGCGGUUUGGCCUGUAUGGCUGAGCCGCCAAGCGAAAGCGUUAAGUGUCCCACCUGGGGAGUACGCCGGCAACGGUGAAACUCAAAGGAAUUGGCGGGG
rnacentral:rRNA from 1 species